GCAUAUCAUUCGGCAUCCAAAUAAUUCUAUUUUAAUACAAAAUAAAUCUAUUCUAGCACAAAAUAAAUCUAUGCAUUUAAUAAGUUUAUAUCAUAGAAUUUCAAAUCCUACCAAUCUACUAAUAUUAAAUUAAAAAUAAAGGUAGAAGAAAGUAGCCUGAUUGAAAGCAGGUCGAAGCGCGUAGACGCUGUCCCAAAGAAGUAUUUGCCUCCACGUACGGGUCACCCGGCAAUCCUUCUUGGAGAUACGACGACCCUACAACCUCUUCUUCGGCACGUCUCGGAAGAAGUCAAAGCGAACCCGAUCGAACUUGCAGAUCCAACAAAGAACGGAAUGAAAAGAACUAAAUAAACUGAAUAAAAAUGUAAAAAUAAAAUUUGGAAGUGGCUAAGAGGGAGAAGAAUUUUUCCAGAAUUUUUCCACUAUUUUUCUGAAAUUUUUC
rnacentral:lncRNA from 1 species